AGCGGCGUACGGGUGCGGAACACGUGUGCAACUGCUUUAUCUGGGGGAUAGCCUUUCGAAAGGAAGAUUAAUACCCCAUAAUAUGUUGAAUGGCAUCAUUCGACAUUGAAAACUCCGGUGGAUAGAGAUGGGCACGCGCAAGAUUAGAUAGUUGGUGAGGUAACGGCUCACCAAGUCUACGAUCUUUAGGGGCCUGAAGGGUGAUCCCCACACUGGUACUGUGACACGGACCAGACUCCUACGGGAGGCAGCAGUGAGGAAUAUUGGACAAUGGGUGAGAGCCUGAUCCAGCCAUGCCGCGUGAGUGAUGAAGGCCUUAGGGUUGUAAAGCUCUUUCGGCGGGGAAGAUAAUGACGGUACCCGCAGAAAAGCCCCGGCUAACUUCGUGCCAGCAGCCGCGGUAAUACGAAGGGGGUUAGCGUUGCUCGGAAUCACUGGGCGUAAAGCGCACGUAGCGGAUUGUUAAGUCAGGGGUGAAAUCCUGGAGCUCAACUCCAGAACUGCCUUUGAUACUGGCGAUCUUGAGUCCGGGAGAGGUGAGUGGAAUUGCGAGUGUAGGGUGAAAUUCGUAAUUUCGCAAGAACACCAGUGGCGAAGGCG
rnacentral:rRNA from 1 species